rnacentral:rRNA from 1 species
AUGAAGCCCAGCUUGCUGGGUGGAUUAGUGGCGAACGGGUGAGUAACACGUGAGUAACCUGCCCUUAACUCUGGGAUAAGCCUGGGAAACUGGGUCUAAUACCGGAUAGGAGCGUCCACCGCAUGGUGGGUGUUGGAAAGAUUUAUCGGUUUUGGAUGGACUCGCGGCCUAUCAGCUUGUUGGUGAGGUAAUGGCUCACCAAGGCGACGACGGGUAGCCGGCCUGAGAGGGUGACCGGCCACACUGGGACUGAGACACGGCCCAGACUCCUACGGGAGGCAGCAGUGGGGAAUAUUGCACAAUGGGCGAAAGCCUGAUGCAGCGACGCCGCGUGAGGGAUGACGGCCUUCGGGUUGUAAACCUCUUUCAGUAGGGAAGAAGCGAAAGUGACGGUACCUGCAGAAGAAGCACCGGCUAACUACGUGCCAGCAGCCGCGGUAAUACGUAGGGUGCGAGCGUUAUCCGGAAUUAUUGGGCGUAAAGAGCUCGUAGGCGGUUUGUCGCGUCUGUCGUGAAAGUCCGGGGCUUAACCCCGGAUCUGCGGUGGGUACGGGCAGACUAGAGUGCAGUAGGGGAGACUGGAAUUCCUGGUGUAGCGGUGGAAUGCGCAGAUAUCAGGAGGAACACCGAUGGCGAAGGCAGGUCUCUGGGCUGUAACUGACGCUGAGGAGCGAAAGCAUGGGGAGCGAACAGGAUUAGAUACCCUGGUAGUCCAUGCCGUAAACGUUGGGCACUAGGUGUGGGGACCAU